rnacentral:rRNA from 1 species
AGCUCCAAUAGCGUAUAUUAAAGUUGUUGCAGUUAAAAAGCUCGUAGUCGGAUGUAAGGGGAGACGCGGGGGUCUGCCGCGAGGCUGCACUCUUGCCGUCGACUCUAUGAUGCCGGGGAAUUGCUGAUGCGGAGACGUGUUGGUGGGGAACCGGGUUUACUGUGAAGAAAUUAGAGUGUUCAAAGCAGGCAGGAUUUGCUUGGAUACGCCAGCAUGGAAUAAUGGAAUAGGACGAUGGUCUUAUUUUGUUGGUUCGGGGACCGUCGUAAUGAUUGAGAGGGACAGUUGGGGGCAUUAGGAUUCGGUAGUCAGAGGUGAAAUUCUUGGAUUUACCGAGGACUGACUAGUGCGAAAGCAUCUGCCAAGGAUGUUUUCA